CCCAGUAUGGUGGUUUAGUGGUUUGAGUGCUGGAUUAGGACUCUAGGAAACCAGGGUUCAAGUCCCUCCUUUGGGU